rnacentral:rRNA from 1 species
GGGAACGGCAUCUGGAACUGCUUGGCUAGAGUGCAGGAGAGGAAGGUAGAAUUCCCGGUGUAGCGGUGAAAUGCGUAGAGAUCGGGAGGAAUACCAGUGGCGAAGGCGGCCUUCUGGACUGACACUGACACUGAGGUGCGAAAGCGUGGGUAGCAAACAGGAUUAGAUACCCUGGUAGUCCACGCCGUAAACGAUGUCAACUAGCCGUUGGGUCCCUUGAGGACUUAGUGGCGCAGCUAACGCAAUAAGUUGACCGCCUGGGGAGUACGGCCGCAAGGUUAAAACUCAAAUGAAUUGACGGGGGCCCGCACAAGCGGUGGAGCAUGUGGUUUAAUUCGAUGCAACGCGAAGAACCUUACCUACCCUUGACAUCCAGAGGACUUUCCAGAGAUGGAUUGGUGCCUUCGGGAACUCUGAGACAGGUGCUGCAUGGCUGUCGUCAGCUCGUGUUGUGAAAUGUUGGGUUAAGUCCCGUAACGAGCGCAACCCCUAUCCUUAUUUGCCAGCGAGUAAUGUCGGGAACUCUAAGGAGACUGCCGGUGACAAACCGGAGGAAGGUGGGGACGACGUCAAGUCAUCAUGGCCCUUACGGGUAGGGCUACACACGUGCUACAAUGGCAAGUACAAAGGGUUGCAAUACUGCGAAGUGGAGCCAAUCCCAUAAAGCUUGCCUCAGUCCGGAUUGGAGUCUGCAACUCGACUCCAUGAAGUCGGAAUCGCUAGUAAUCGUGGAUCAGAAUGCCACGGUGAAUACGUUCCCGGGCCUUGGUACACACCGCCCGUCACACCAUGGGGAGUGGGACUGCACCCAGAA